rnacentral:rRNA from 1 species
AGAGUUUGAUCAUGGCUCAGAUUGAACGCUGGCGGCAUGCUUUACACAUGCAAGUCGAACGGGGUGAGGGGGCAACUUCUCAUUCAGUGGCGAACGGGUGAGUAAUGCAUCGGAACGUGUCCCGCAGUGGGGGAUAACGCCGCGAAAGCGGCGCUAAUACCGCAUACGCUCUGCGGAGGAAAGCGGGGGACCGGAAACGGCCUCGCGCUAUGGGGGCGGCCGAUGUCCGAUUAGCUAGUUGGUGGGGUAAUGGCUUACCAAGGCGACGAUCGGUAGCUGGUCUGAGAGGAUGAUCAGCCACACUGGGACUGAGACACGGCCCAGACUCCUACGGGAGGCAGCAGUGGGGAAUUUUGGACAAUGGGGGCAACCCUGAUCCAGCCAUGCCGCGUGCGGGAAGAAGGCCUUCGGGUUGUAAACCGCUUUUAGCCGGGACGAAAAGGGCACGGAUAACACCCGUGUUUUUUGACGGUACCGGCGGAAUAAGCACCGGCUAACUACGUGCCAGCAGCCGCGGUAAUUC